rnacentral:rRNA from 1 species
CCUACGGGUGGCAGCAGUGAGGAAUAUUGGUCAAUGGGCGCGAGCCUGAACCAGCCAAGUCGCGUGAGGGAUGAAGGUUCUAUGGAUCGUAAACCUCUUUUAUAAGGGAAUAAAGUGUGGGACGUGUCCUAUUUUGUAUGUACCUUAUGAAUAAGGAUCGGCUAACUCCGUGCCAGCAGCCGCGGUAAUACGGAGGAUCCGAGCGUUAUCCGGAUUUAUUGGGUUUAAAGGGUGCGUAGGCGGCCUUUUAAGUCAGCGGUGAAAGUCUGUGGCUCAACCAUAGAAUGGCCGUUGAAACUGGGAGUCUUGAGUAUGUGUGAGGCAGGCGGAAUGCGCGGUGUAGCGGUGAAAUGCUUAGAUAUCACGCAGAACCCCGAUUGCGAAGGCAGCCUGCCAAGACAUGACUGACGCUGAUGCACGAAAGCGUGGGGAGCAAACAGGAUUAGAUACCCGAGUAGUC